rnacentral:rRNA from 1 species
UACGGGGGGUGCGAGCGUUGUCCGGAUUUACUGGGCGUAAAGAGCGUGUAGGCGGCCAAGCAGGUCCGUUGUGAAAACUGGAGGCUUAACCUCCAGACGUCGACGGAAACCGCGUGGCUAGAGUCCGGAAGAGGAGAGUGGAAUUCCUGGUGUAGCGGUGAAAUGCGCAGAUAUCAGGAAGAACAUCAAUGGCGAAGGCAGCUCUCUGGGACGGUACUGACGCUGAGACGCGAAAGCGUGGGGAGCGAACAGG